UACGGAGGGUGCAAACGUUGCUCGGAAUCAUUGGGCGUAAAACGCACGUAGGCGGCCUGACAAGUCGGGUGUGAAAUCCCUCGGCUUAACCGAGGAAGUGCAUUCGAAACUAUCAGGCUUGAAUACUCAAGAGGGUCUCGGAAUUCCCGGGUGUAGAGGUGAAAUUCGUAGAUAUCGGGAGGAACACCAGUGGCGAAGGCGGAGACCUGGGGGAGAUAUUGACGCUGAGGUGCGAAAGCGUGGGGAGCAAACAGG
rnacentral:rRNA from 1 species